UACGGAGGGUGCAAGCGUUAUCCGGAUUUACUGGGUUUAAAGGGUGCGUAGGUGGGUAGGUAAGUCAGUGGUGAAAUCUUCGAGCUUAACUCGGAAACUGCCAUUGAUACUAUUUAUCUUGAAUACUUUGGAGGUAAGCGGAAUAUGUCAUGUAGCGGUGAAAUGCUUAGAUAUGACAUAGAACACCAAUUGCGAAGGCAGCUCACUACACAAUCAUUGACUCUGAGGCACGAAAGCGUGGGGAUCAAACAGG
rnacentral:rRNA from 1 species